GAACCGCAGGUUCGAUAGUGAAAGAUGGCUCUGCUAUCACUUAUAGAUGGACCUGCGCCGUAUUAGCUAGUUGGUAAGGUAACGGCUUACCAAGGCAACGAUACGUAGCCGACCUGAGAGGGUGAUCGGCCACACUGGAACUGAGACACGGUCCAGACUCCUACGGGAGGCAGCAGUAGGGAAUCUUCCGCAAUGGGCGAAAGCCUGACGGAGCAACGCCGCGUGAGUGAUGAAGGUCUUCGGAUCGUAAAACUCUGUUAUUAGGGAAGAACAAACGUGUAAGUAACUGUGCACGUCUUGACGGUACCUAAUCAGAAAGCCACGGCUAACUACGUGCCAGCAGCCGCGGUAAUACGUAGGUGGCAAGCGUUAUCCGGAAUUAUUGGGCGUAAAGCGCGCGUAGGCGGUUUUUUAAGUCUGAUGUGAAAGCCCACGGCUCAACCGUGGAGGGUCAUUGGAAACUGGAAAACUUGAGUGCAGAAGAGGAAAGUGGAAUUCCAUGUGUAGCGGUGAAAUGCGCAGAGAUAUGGAGGAACACCAGUGGCGAAGGCGACUUUCUGGUCUGUAACUGACGCUGAUGUGCGAAAGCGUGGGGAUCAAACAGGAUUAGAUACCCUGGUAGUCCACGCCGUAAACGAUGAGUGCUAAGUGUUAGGGGGUUUCCGCCCCUUAGUGCUGCAGCUAACGCAUUAAGCACUCCGCCUGGGGAGUACGACCGCAAGGUUGAAACUCAAAGGAAUUGACGGGGACCCGCACAAGCGGUGGAG
rnacentral:rRNA from 1 species